rnacentral:rRNA from 1 species
AGAUUGAACGCUGGCGGCAUGCCUUACACAUGCAAGUCGAACGGCAGCGCGGGGCAACCUGGCGGCGAGUGGCGAACGGGUGAGUAAUAUAUCGGAACGUACCCUGGAGUGGGGGAUAACGUAGCGAAAGUUACGCUAAUACCGCAUACGAUCUAAGGAUGAAAGUGGGGGAUCGCAAGACCUCAUGCUCCUGGAGCGGCCGAUAUCUGAUUAGCUAGUUGGUAGGGUAAAGCCUACCAAGGCAUCGAUCAGUAGCUGGUCUGAGAGGACGACCAGCCACACUGGAACUGAGACACGGUCCAGACUCCUACGGGAGGCAGCAGUGAGGAAUUUCGUCAAUGGGGGCAACCCUGACGAGCAACGCCGCGUGCAGGAAGAAGGUUUUCGGAUCGUAAACUGCUUUUCUCGGGGAAGAGAAUGGACGGUACCCGAGGAAUCAGCCCCGGCUAACUACGUGCCAGCAGCCGC